AAUUUAAACCUUUUUCUUUAUUUUCUUGACAGUAUUUUAUUUAUAAAGGUUGUACUACCAGAAUGAAGUUUAUCCUUAGCAGGCUGUCGAGUUUGUGAAAAUGUGUUUAGGGCUUACUUCAGUGCUGACAUUGGUACUCUGGAAUAAACCUGGAGAGAAACAGUGAGCCAAGGAGUGAUUACAGGAUUAACCUAAAUUUAUGCUAUAAGAAGUAUGACUUUCUAAAAUAAUGUCAGCGGAGUGUGAGAAAAUGACGUCGGAAAAGAGUCUAGAAGAGGAGCUGGGAGAGAU